rnacentral:rRNA from 1 species
GAUGAACGCUGGCGGCGUGCCUAAUACAUGCAAGUCGAGCGAACGGACGCGAAGCUUGCUUUUCUGAUGUUAGCGGCGGACGGGUGAGUAACAUGUGGAUAACCUACCUAUCAGACUGGGAUAAUUACGGGAAACCGGAGCUAAUACCGGAUAAUAUCUUGAACCGCAUGGUUCAAAAGUGAAAGACGGUCUUGCUGUCACUUAUCGAUGGAUCCGCGCUGCAUUAGCUAGUUGGUAAGGUAACGGCUUACCAAGGCAACGAUGCAUAACCGACCUGAGAGACGGGUCGGCGGCACUGGAGCGUGGACGCGGUCAAUGCGACUACGAGACGCAGCAGUAGGGAAUGUGCCGCAGUAGGCGGGAGCCUUGCAGAACGGCGGGGCGUGAGUGGUGAAAGUGUUGGGUGCGGGAAGCUCUGUUAUGAGUGAAAAACAGAUGUGGAAUUAGCCGUAGACAGCGUGACGGUACCGGAUCAAGAAGCCACGGCUAACUACGUG